UUGAAUUCAAUGCUCUUUGCAACAGUCACGCCGUCCUUUGUCACUUUGGGGGCACCAAAACUUUGUUCAAUUACCACAUUGCGCCCCUUAGGACCCAUGGUAACUUGCACAGCAUCAGCAAGCGCUUCGACACCCUUAAGCAUUAAAGCACGGGCUUCCACACCAAAUUUGAUGUCUUUGGCCGCAUAGUUUCUACUCCAACUCAGUCUACUUCCAAUCUGAUGAGUGCUGUUCCUAGCGAUUCGAGCUCUAGAUGCGAUGCUAGAGGCGAAACGAUACAUGGUGUGCAAACUGCAGAGAAAGGAGAGUUCUUGGACUGGGAAAUGAGGAAGGCGAGUGAAUUAACAAAGCAGAGCGUGCCAGUACGAGUUUGUCAAGG
rnacentral:misc_RNA from 1 species